rnacentral:rRNA from 1 species
AUGGUGGAGGUGGCACACCCGUUCCCUUUCCGAACACGGAAGUUAAGCCCUCUCACGCCGAUGAUACUGCCCCUUCAAGGCGGCGGGAAAGUAGGUCGUCGCCAGGC